UACCCAAUCCCGAUUCGGGGAGGUAGUGACAAUAAAUAACAAUACAGGGCCAACGGUCUUGUUAUUGGAAUGAGAACAAUUUAAAUAACUUAACGAGGAUCAAUUAGAGGGCAAGUCUGGUGCCAGCAGCCGCGGUAAUUCCAGCUCUAAUAGCGUAUAUUAAAGUUGUUGCAGUUAAAAAGCUCGUAGUCGGAUGUCGGGCUCGGGCAGGCUGUCGGCUUCGGUCGGACGGCAGGCUCGGGUCUUUCUGCCUGAGGAUCCCGUUGCACUUAAUUGUGGGGCGUGGGGACGCAGGCCGUUUACUUUGAAAAAAUUAGAGUGUUCAAAGCAGGCCUACGCUUGAAUACAUUAGCAUGGAAUAAUGGAAUAGGACUUUGGUGCUAUUUUGUUGGUUUAUGGGACCGAAGUAAUGAUUAACAGGGACAGUUGGGGCCGUUUAUAUUUCGUUGUCAGAGGUGAAAUUCUUGGAUUUACGAAAGAUAAACUUCUGCGAAAGCAUUCGGCAAGGAUGUUUUCAUUGAUCAAGAACGAAAGUUAGGGGAUCGAAGACGAUCAGAUACCGUCGUAGUCUUAACCAUAAACUAUGCCGACUAGGGAUCAGUGGAUGUCAAUUUGCGACUCCAUUGGCACCUUGUGAGAAAUCAAAGUUUUUGGGUUCCGGGGGGAGUAUGGUCGCAAGGCUGAAACUUAAAGGAAUUGACGGAAGGGCACCACCAGGAGUGGAGCCUGCGGCUUAAUUUGACUCAACACGGGGAAACUUACCAGGUCCAGACAUAGUAAGGAUUGACAGAUUGAAAGCUCUUUCUUGAUUCUAUGGGUGGUGGUGCAUG
rnacentral:rRNA from 1 species